ACUAAAAAUGCUCCAAGUUUUAACAAAAUUUGUGGUAGUGGAGUCUCAGGACUGAUUGUAUCGACAACAAACAAACUUUUUGUCACCUUUAAAACAGAUAGCAGUGAAACAUACAGAGGAUUUUAUGGGGAGUUCUAUUCACACGGCAGACACUCUACACUAUAUGAGGUAGGCAAGUUGGCAAGUCCUGGAUAUCCCUUACAAUAUUUGAAUAAUCAGGAAUUUACAUGGAAUCUAUCAGCACGUCCUGAUACACGUCUCAUUUUAAAUCUAUCGUUUGUGGAAACAGAGUCUUGUGACAUAGACUAUAUCACCGUGUACGACGGAGCUACUAAAAAUGCUCCAAGUUCUAAGAAAGUCUGUGGUAGGGGAGUCUCAGAUGUGAUUGUAUCGACAACAAACAACCUUUUUGUCACCUUUAAAACAGAU